rnacentral:rRNA from 1 species
GACGAACUGUCCUAACGUUGUUCGGAAUCACUGGGCUUAAAGGGCGCGUAGGCGGUCGGACAAGUCGGGGGUGAAAUCCUGCAGCUUAACUGUAGAAGUGCCUUCGAUACUGUCCGUCUGGAGGGAGGUAGGGGUGUGCGGAACUUCCAGUGGAGCGGUGAAAUGCGUUGAUAUUGGAAGGAACGCCGGAGGCGAAAGCGGCGCACUGGACCUUUUCUGACGCUGAGGCGCGAAAGCUAGGGGAGCAAACGGG